UUGAGUCGGACACAUUGAGACACACGUUCAUUUCCUUCCGUACACAUCCCUCUAGAUAGAAAAUCAAUGUGGACAGUAUCGAUUGUUUGUUUUUUCAGUUCCAAAUGUUCUCAACGAGCUGAAUACCGAAUAUGUACAUGUCAAUGAGGAAAUCCGAAAUAGAUGAGAAGUUAGACAAUUAGAACAGGGUGCUUGGCAAUUUUGGUCACCAGGUUUGUUUAUCUGGAAAACGGUUUGCAGUGCCUGAUGAACUUUCGAGUGAUUUCAGUUAACCGUGCUUGUGAAUCCAAGAACCGCGUUCGUUGAAGUAUUGAUCAUUUGUAUGACCUUAGGUUAAAUUUGACAAAGAAGAUACGAGUGACUGGACAGAAGAGAGAGUAGUAAAGGAUGUGAUUUGAUUAUAUUGGAGAUUUCAUAGCGACCUAUUCAAGUUAAGCGUGAACUACGAUUGCACGAUUGCACUGCUGCGACCUGACUGGGUUCACUCGGAUAGGGAAAAUAAAACGUGGUUGGAUCUGUGACCCGAGGGUCAUGUGGGUAGUGUGCUUGCGUCCUACCGGUGAGGAGGUCCCGACUUCAGUCAGGUCGACGAAUCCAAACUGCAGAUGAGACCAAAACAGAUUAAAAUAGCAGUACACUUCUGCCUCCUGCCUUUUCAGUUCACACCUCACUUAAACUGAUACCGAAUGAAAUUCCCCCAAAUAAUUGCACACCUUUUCAGUCUGGAAACUUAUUCCAAACUUAUUCCAACAUAUUCCAAGGAAGGCAGCAGGCACGCAAAUUACCCAAUCCCGGCACGGGGAGGUAGUGACGAAAAAUACGGAUACGGGACUCAAUAGAGGCUCCGUAAUUCGAAUGAGUACAAUUUAAAUCCUUUAACGAGGAUCAACUGGAGGGCAAGUCUGGUGCCAGCAGCCGCGGUAACUCCAGCUCCAGAAGCGUAUAUUAAAGUUGUUGCAGUUAAAAAGCUCGUAGUUGGAUCUGGGUCGCAUGGCUACAUGCCGUCGCUCGUUGGUGUGAUCUGGUUACGACCGGAUCAAGCCUGCGAGUCGGUCUAGUGGUUGUGCUUCCUUUCUGCUGUGUCUGUUUACAGGUGUCAGCGUGACUGGUGGGCUUGCCUGCUGGUCUGUUGGCAUGCUUCUUGGUGCCUUUAAACGGGUGUCGGAGGCGGACAGCACGUUUACUUUGAACAAAUUUGAGUGCUCAAAGCAGGCCUUUGUGCCUGAAAAUUCUUGCAUGGAAUAAUGGAAUAGGACUUCGGUUCUAUUUUGUUGGUUUUCGGAUCCGAAGUAAUGGUUAAGAGGGACAGACGGGGGCAUUUGUAUGGCGGUGUUAGAGGUGAAAUUCUUGGAUCGCCGCCAGACAAACUACAGCGAAAGCAUUUGCCAAGGAUGUUUUCAUUGAUCUUGAGCGAAAGUCAGAGGUUCGAAGACGAUCAGAUACCGUCCUAGUUCUGACCAUAAACGAUGCCAACUGACGAUCCGUGGCGGUUCUUUAUGUGUCCCCACGGGCAGUCCCCGGGAAACCCUUAAGUCUUUGGGCUCCGGGGGAAGUAUGGUUGCAAAGCUGAAACUUAAAGGAAUUGACGGAAGGGCACCACCAGGAGUGGAGCCUGCGGCUUAAUUCGACUCAACACGGGAAAACUCACCCGGCCCGGACACUGUGAGGAUUGACAGAUUGAUAGCUCUUUNAUUCCAAGUUAUAUACCAGUUGGGAAACACUGGGAUGCGAAACGGCUAUUCCUUUUUAAAUCCCAUAAAUGCUUUGGUGACAAUUAUUUUGUAAACGAGGAUAAACAGUCCAUGAACUUAACUUUCUGGCGGUGGNGGCGAUGUGUGGUCAAAUCCCACCAUCGCCGCCUGACUUUACCCAUUGUGUGUUGAAUGGCAGCCCUUUGAUUGGCCGCUUCCUCCUUCUUGAGUUGUGUAUCUUUGUACAUUCAAUAAAAGGAAGUAAAAUACAAUAAAUA
rfam:Echinostoma caproni strain Egypt genome assembly, scaffold: ECPE_scaffold0003124